GGCUGGAUAGCUCAGUGGGUAACCUUCAGGUUAGAGCAUCUCACAUGAUAUGAGAAGGUCCUGAGUUUGAUUCUCAGUCUAACCA